rnacentral:rRNA from 1 species
UGACGCAGCGACGCCGCGUGGAGGAUGAAGGCCUUCGGGUUGUAAACUCUUGUCAGAGGAGAAGAAAGCCUGAGUAAUCAGGCUUGACGGUAUCCUCAGAGGAAGCCCCGGCUAACUACGUGCCAGCAGCCGCGGUAACACGUAGGGGGCGAACGUUGCUCGGAAUUACUGGGCGUAAAGGGUGUGUAGGCGGCUGAGCAAGUCAAAGAUGAAAUCCCGAGGCUCAACUUCGGAAUUGUCUUUGAAACUGUUCAGCUUGAGGAUAGUUGAGGAGAACGGAAUUCCCGGUGGAGCGGUGAAAUGCGUAGAUAUCGGGAGGAACACCGGAGGCGAAGGCGGUUUUCUGGGCUAUUCCUGACGCUGAGGCACGAAAGCUAGGGGAGCAAACGGGAUUAGAUACCCCGGUAGUCCUAGCCGUAAACGAUGGGCACUAGAUGUUUUCGCUUUUAUGCGGGAGUGUCAAAGCUAACGCGUUAAGUGCCCCGCCUGG